CCCUCCUCCCCGCCUUUCCUGGACACCAGCUCCGCAAGAUCACUGUCGGAAGCCCCUCCCCCGCCCCACCCUGGCAGGAGAUUUAAUAGGUUUUAUUUCCCCCUGGCAAACCGGCAGCUGUUUUAAGUCAAUGAAAGUAAGAUUAGAAGAGAUAAGCGCCUCAGCCGCGCCGGAGCUGUCAGAACACACACUUAAAUCAACCCCACAGCUUCUGCUCCGAGCUUCACCUACGGAGUUUCUCCUCGUGGUGAUGUAACUCGUGUAACUCGGAGUCCCGCUCUGGGCUCCACGCGCCGGCUGCAGUGUCGCAGCACAAGGCGUUGAAGUCCAGUGCCCAGCAUUAUUUCUCCCUAACUAGCAUUCCCUGGUUCUGGGGCAUUGGGGCGCUAUUUUUUUUCUUCACUCACAUAAAAUCAAACCAGUUCAACCGCCCCUAAGGCAAAGAUGAGUGAGACUCAAAACUUUUCUCCCCCACACCCCACCCCACGCGAGGAGUAGGUGGGUGCGAAGCGGAGGCGAAGGCUGCGGGGACCCGAGGCGCCGAGCCCUGCUCUGGGAAGCAGUGGUCGCUUUAAAAUCCGAACCUCUGGCUGCUCCUGCCUGGGCACCGCCUAGGCGGCUGCUCGCCUCCGGGAAGGUUCCGCGGACCCCCGCAGACCCCUGUGCGGUGCGGACCCCGGGGUGGGGGCAGGAGGGGCCCAGGCCUUUUAAUCAGUUUCUGGUACAAAGACACACUGCAAGAGGGUUAUUAGACAUCUUGGACAAGCCUCCCACAUGUGGCAGGUUCACACAAGGACAAGACAUCACAAAAAUACAUCCGGGCAAAGUGUUCCCACGUGAUUCACCUGACCACUUGUAGGUAAGUUGAUGGAUGGCUUUAGCGUUGUCAGCUGGAAGCAGGCCUUGCAUGGGUGCAGGAGUGGGCAGGCGCUGCUGCUGCACUGGCUCCAACAGGGUUAAACAGCCUUGCCAGCAUGAACAAUGGAAACUGGGCAGCUCUAAAUGAAAUGAGCUGAAUAUUUCAUUCAGCCACUCAGCUGCCUGCUCCAAUUGCCUCCUUUACUAAAAUAAGAGCUUAAUCUAAAGUGACAACAACAUCAGUUUCUGUGUGCUCCAGUCACACUGAACAUGACUUCCUUAACAUAAACACUAUUUACAUGGACCGUCUGGAUAUAGCAGGGAAUCAGGAGCGUGCCCAGCUAAGACACAGGGUACAAUGAAGGACGAGGAGCAGGCAGCUGAGAAUUAACAUCAGCAAAUGAAAGCCUGACCCUCAAAGGGCAUGUCUCUGAUACGUUUUAAAAUGAGAGAGCAUUGUACCAGUAACCUCAGCCUUUGUAAAGACUAUGCCAUUUAAAAUAAAAUAGCACCUUUUCAGUUUAGACACUUAACCAAAUGCAUUAUGUCUGACCCAUUUUUCAACUUCUGUGACACAAGAGGAUGGAUCCCUAGCUGCAAUUAUUUGAAUCUUUCCAGCAAUUGCAAAACCAAUAACUUCUCUCCCCAGACUCCAGCGCAUCUUAGAGAUAAAGGGGGCAUUCCAUUCUAGGAGUGCAGGCCAGCCCAAGAUGUCAGGGGAGUGUCAAACAAGAUGUGACCCUUGAACUGAAGAAUUUGAUGCUACUGCUGGCAAUACCCAGGAAAUCCUGGAUUGAAAGUGAUUUUCAGCUAGAGAACUCUGGAACGUUGGAAGCAGGGCUUUGACAAGGCACUAGCUUCUCAGGGACCACAAAAAUAAUACAAAUUACUUAUUUCCAGGAGGCUAGAC
rnacentral:lncRNA from 1 species